rnacentral:tRNA from 1 species
AGAAAAAUGAAAUCCAAGGAAAAGCUGCUAACUUUUUUCUUUAAUGGUGAAAUUCCAUUUAUUUUUCUU